rnacentral:lncRNA from 1 species
UUGGAGAAAAAAAUUCAGAAUUUUUGGAAACUUAAAAGUAUUUUUAAACAAUUAAAAAUAAUCACAAAAUCAAUUAAAUCAUAAAAUAUAUUAAUAAUGGUCCAAAAAAUAAUUUUAAAAUUAAUAUCAAUUAAUGAAAAUCAAAGGAAUAAAAUGAAAAUCAGAAAAUACAAAAAAAAACGUGGACCACUUGAUCUCCCUCA